UACGUAGGGGGCAAGCGUUGCUCGGAAUCACUGGGCGUAAAGCGCACGUAGGCGGCGGAGUAGGUAGGGCAUGAAAGCGCCUGGCUUAACUGGGCGAGGCUGUCCUAUACCACUUUGCUCGAGGACAGGAGAGGGACGUGGAACUGCCGGUGUAGUGGUGAAAUGCGUAGAGAUCGGCAAGAACACCAGUGGCGAAGGCGGCGUCCUGGCCUGGUCCUGACGCUCAGGUGCGACAGCUAGGGGAGCGAACGGG
rnacentral:rRNA from 1 species